AUGACUUUGCAUUGAAUUAACUCAGAAGAGUGAUGGCAGCUUCCCAGGAAUUUUCACCUUAGAUGAACCUAUGGACAAAAGAUCAAAUCAUAAAUGCUUGUUUUCCUGGAACGACUAAUUAGAAGACUUUUGAAAAUAUGCUGGCAAAGGGCUUUUGCAAAGUGUGUCAGGGCAGAGGAAAGUUAAAACAAAACAAAAAAAAAGCCAACCCCCCUCCAAACCCUAAAUUCUUAAGUAAUGGUUUAUGAGUUUGCAGCUCUUUAUCUGGUAGCUAUCAGUUAUGUUAUGGAUAAAUAUAGUACUAUCUACUGGGACACUACUAUAUAUCAAAACUGUCUGAAGACGUAAAAGCAGCAGCUCCUUUCAGCAGCAGCAGAGGACGUUAGCCAGGCCUUUUGCCUUAGUGUUUCACAUGUCUUGGUACUAUAAUCCUGAUUAAACCUAAACAUGGAAAUCACCUACUUCCUUGAUUUUUAAAAUACUUCCCACCCCCCUAAUUAUUUCAGUUGGAGCCACGGGAUGACAAGAGAAUGGUGGUGAGGAUUUACCUCAACAGCCCGGACUCCACAGUGGGGGAUGAACAUUUGAUGGAAGUGCUUCAAGCAAAGAGUAACGUGGAUGCCAACCGAGACGUCUGGACGUGCUCAGAUGUAUAAGGGUCCAAAACUGAAAUAUGACAUUAGAAGAGAAAAACACCUCUUACUCACUGUAUAACUGCACGUGCAAAUUCACUACUCAAAUCUGUAUGGUGCUUUUUCACAAGGUUAA